rnacentral:rRNA from 1 species
CGAGCGGCGGACGGGUGAGUAACGCGUGGGUAACCGUGCCUCAUACAGGGGAGUAACAGUUGGAAACGGCUGCUAAUACCGCAUAAGCGCACAGUACCGCAUGGUACGGUGUGAAAAACUCCGGUGGUAUGAGAUGGACCCGCGUCUGAUUAGCCAGUUGGCGGGGUAACGGCCCACCAAAGCGACGAUCAGUAGCCGACCUGAGAGGGUGACCGGCCACAUUGGGACUGAGACACGGCCCAA